ensembl:lncRNA
CUUGGCAUGGGCCAUGACUCGUGAAAGCUAGAACCGAGACUAUUUGCAGGCAGCUCAAUAGGCUACAGAAUCUCUUUUUAGCAGUCGUUACUGCUUACAUAUCCCUGGGAGGAGGGUGGUCUGUGCAUCUGACAAGUCUCAGGGACUUCCCGAUACUUGUCAGUUGUUAACUUCCUGCAUCUUAAUGAGCCUUCCCUUAGAACUUCUCAAGACUGACCCAUCUUCCCUCAGAAAUAGAAAGUUUCAGUUUGGAGGAAUUCAUUACAUGACACCAUCCUAACCUGGAAGACUCCAGACUUCCCCCCUUGAACCUGUAGCUUCUCUUAGAAAGGAUAGUGCUAAGAGCAAUGUCCAGAAGGUGAGGCUGCCCGGGAUGUCCAUAUGCCUUAGCACAGAAAAGGGAAAUGACUCAGCACUUGGAUAAUGAAGUUGUGGUUAGACACAGGGGCGAAAUGAAGCCUUAGCUUGUCACGUGGACCACACUGAUUCACAAAGUGACAGGUAACGGUUUUGAUGAGACUUCACUGUGGCUGCUGAGGUGAAUGUUGGCAGCAAACGGUACCAAUAAUGGUUCAAAUACUGCCUUUGCCACUUGCCAGCUACAUCAUUUUAGAUGUUACUUAACUUCUGUUGUUUUCCUAUUUCGAACAGAGGGUAAAAAUAGAACCUACCUCCUGGGGUCAUUGUGAGAGUUCACUGAGUUAGUGCUGAGAAGGCAGGAAGUUGAUUAAUGUCUGGCUCCAGAGAAACACUCUACGAAGAGAACUGUUUAGUUAGGAUUGUGAUCCACGGGCGGGUUCUCACCUUUUGCCGCAAUGGGUUAGCAGUUUGAUACAGUUCAAUAUUAUUUGAGAGUUCUUGUUGCCUUUUCACAGCGAUAGUUGGGGCAGUGCAGAAAUAACUCCCUGCCAUGUUGAAAGGUCACGGCUAACUGACAAAGGGCUUUUGUGUUUCUUAACAACAUCUGAUUCUGUUUUCUUUUGCUUUACCAUUCUGGGGAUUGAACCCUGAACCUUGAACAUGCUAGGCAAGCUGGACUGAACUACACCCAGAGCCCUUCAAGAAAAAGUGUGAAUCAGAUCUGGGUGUGGUGGUAUGCCCCUGAGGUCUCAACACUCAGGAGCCUGAGGGAGGAAGAGCCACACUUUAGACCAGGCUGGGUUAACUGGGAGUUCCAGGCAAGCCUGGGCAACAUAAACAGAGCCCUUUUAAAAAGUAAGUGUUGCUGCCAGCAUGAAAGUAACUGCUAGGAACUUGUUUCCAUUAAUAUGAGCUAACUUUUAGAGGUGGAGUUAGGAAAAGACAUUACGCCAAACUCAUGCCCCAGCCUUUCAGUUUAAGAGGAAAGCAGCCAUGCGAAGUAUGCGCUUCCUCGGGGGAGAUUAUUAUCUCUGGCAGCCUUCUGAGUGAUUUGUCAAAAUGGAAUACAACCCAAAAGCUGAGUCCUCUGGGGCUUUAGAGUUAUAAAUGGGACAAGAUGAACCCCGAGAGGCUGACUGCUUCUAUUCUCCACGUACUUGGGCAGUAGUGUGGGUGCCCUCCAGGCAGAAAAGGAAACAGAUUGAUGAUGUCCAAGCAAUAUCUAUCAUUUUCUUGUCACACACUGGGUUCCCAAUAAUGCUCACCUGCCACAAAGAGCAAAAGCCUCCUUGAGCUCCCUCACCUUAAACUUUCAGUUCUGGAACCAAACUUUCAUGUGACUCUGGGAAAGACUUUUUUAUCAGGCUGGAAACCCAUGUGGACAGCUAGUUGAUCAACAGGCUUUUUUUCCAGGCUUAAAAGAUUUAGAGGCACUAGAAAGGAAGAAGAGGUAGGUGUCCCAUGGCCUCCACUAGGAAAAGGUAGAGAGGCACUCAUGUCUUGAGUCACUAAUGAAGCAGCCUUUCCUAAACGUUAUGGCAGUCUGUAUCUUAUUGCAAGACUGACAGACUGAAUGCCCAGCAGUAAAUUGAAUAGAUAGCAAAAGACAGGUACAUGCUGUUACAUGUGUUAAGAAUUAAGAUGAACUGGGGGAUAGCUUAGUCAUCAAGGUGCUUGCCUCACAGACACGAGGACUUUCAUUUAGAUCCCCACGUGCCAAGCCAAGUGUGGCACUGCGCAUCUGGAAGCUCCGUGAAGAUUAGCCUACUAACUCACACCACCUGCCUAAUGCUGCCAAACUGGUGAGCUCCAGGCUCACCAAGAGACUCUGUCUCAAAAGACAAGGUGAGGAAGACAACAUCUGGUGACCUCUGGCCUCCUCACACACAUGCUCCCAUAGACACUUGGCACCGACAUGUGCUAACUUUGGCGGCUUCAAUCCAAGAUUCAUUGGCCAUGUUGCUUUGGGCCUAUGGUAAGGCAGUGCACCGUGGCAUAUGGUGUGGAAGAGCAAACUCUCUAACUUCAAGGCCAGGAAGAAAAGGAGAGGCAAGAAGAGAACAGGCUCCCACAAUUCCCUUUGUGUUUGCAUGACCAGUGACCAGAGGAUAUCCCAUUACGCCCCAACUCCUAGAGGCCCACCACCUCCCAGUGGCGCUGUGUUGUGGAUGAAGCAUUUUCCAUGUGAGCCUUUGGUGACAGUCCAGUUCAAGCACUAGCAACUGCUGUUAUGGCUGCAUGGAAUUGAGAGGUUGGCAGGACUAAGUCUGGGAGAUUCAGCCAGAAAAGUAGUGCUCAAGGGAAUGUGGAGCCCAAGGAAACCAUGAGGAGGUGUAAAGGUUGGAAGGGGUCCUCAGAACGGAGCCAGCCUUGCCCCCGAGGUCAGAACAGAGGACAGGACACAUCCUAGCACAGGUCUGUCUUCCAGAUGUGGGGUGUCGGGGGCAGGAAGGUGGAGAAAGACAGACUGACUAAGCUGACUCCAGAAGUGUCAGAUUGCAGUCAAGACAGCAGGCAAGUGAAUUGGUUUCAACAAAUAACCAGGUGUCAGGAACUGGAGUCACAGACAGCUGCGAGCUGCCGUGUGGGUGCUAGGAAUUGAACCCGGAUCCUCUGAAACAGCACCCAGUGCUCUUAACUGCUGAGCCAUCUAUCCAGCCCCCUGACCUCCAUAUUCAGUAUUAAAUCUCUUAAUUCAUCACUCAGGUGAGGAAAUGAGGUGUUAUUUAUUGGGUCUUAUUGAGCAG